GGGAUAACUUUUUGUAAGUCGCUCUGGAUAAGAGCGUCUGCUAAAUGACUUAAA
rfam:Salmo salar isolate Sally breed double haploid chromosome ssa07, whole genome shotgun sequence.